AGAUACGACAAGGUCGAACGAUGAAGCCCAGCUUGCUGGGUGGAUUAGUGGCGAACGGGUGAGUAACACGUGAGUAACCUGCCCCCGACUCUGGGAUAAGCCCGGGAAACUGGGUCUAAUACCGGAUAUGACCUCGCACCGCAUGGUGCGGGGUGGAAAGAUUUAUCGGUGGGGGAUGGACUCGCGGCCUAUCAGCUUGUUGGUGAGGUAAUGGCUCACCAAGGCGACGACGGGUAGCCGGCCUGAGAGGGUGACCGGCCACACUGGGACUGAGACACGGCCCAGACUCCUACGGGAGGCAGCAGUGGGGAAUAUUGCACAAUGGGCGCAAGCCUGAUGCAGCGACGCCGCGUGAGGGAUGACGGCCUUCGGGUUGUAAACCUCUUUCAGUAGGGAAGAAGCGAAAGUGACGGUACCUGCAGAAGAAGCGCCGGCUAACUACGUGCCAGCAGCCGCGGUAAUACGUAGGGCGCAAGCGUUAUCCGGAUUUAUUGGGCGUAAAGAGCUCGUAGGCGGUUUGUCGCGUCUGCCGUGAAAGUCCGAGGCUCAACCUCGGAUCUGCGGUGGGUACGGGCAGACUAGAGUGAUGUAGGGGAGACUGGAAUUCCUGGUGUAGCGGUGAAAUGCGCAGAUAUCAGGAGGAACACCGAUGGCGAAGGCAGGUCUCUGGGCAUUUACUGACGCUGAGGAGCGAAAGCAUGGGGAGCGAACAGGAUUAGAUACCCUGGUAGUCCAUGCCGUAAACGUUGGGCACUAGGUGUGGGGGACAUUCCACGUUUUCCGCGCCGUAGCUAACGCAUUAAGUGCCCCGCCUGGGGAGUACGGCCGCAAGGCUAAAACUCAAAGGAAUUGACGGGGGCCCGCACAAGCGGCGGAGCAUGCGGAUUAAUUCGAUGCAACGCGAAGAACCUUACCAAGGCUUGACAUGUGCCAGACCGCUCCAGAGAUGG
rnacentral:rRNA from 1 species